UUUCAUUACAUUAGUGUUAUAUUAUGUUAUAACCUAUGGUUUUCACUGUGUCCAUUCAAUGCAUAAGCUUUGGUGGGUUUAACAUUUUCCAAAUUGAUUGCCCCUCCCCGCUUUUGGUUGAUUGGCUCGCAGUUCUCGCUUACAAAACACUCGCCUUCCAAUGCGUGGCAAUUACACUAUACGACUUGUAUACGUUGAUGGUUGGUUUAAGUUGGUUCUGCAGCCAUAAUAUGGAUUGUAUUUCAAGAGUCUAAGAUUAGUAAUAAUAAGUUUAAACUAUUUUAAAUAUGUCAGUGCUUGAACUCUUCGUCAGUGCUUGUCGUCAGUGCUUGUCGUCAAACUCUUCGUCGUCCUCUUGGAGGCUAUCGACGGGAAUUCAUAUUUUAUAACAGCAAAGCCGACCACUAUUAUAACACCAAUACCGACCGCUACUACUAAUAAACGUCGUAAAAAAACUGUUUUUUUAAAUGAAAUACAUCUGAGGGGGAAAUGGGAAAAUAGAUAUAUUAUAAAAAA